AACUGAUAAAAGGGGAAAGGAUUUGUAGGAGGGGCAGUCACCUCUUAAAAGCCUUGGCCAGAACAGGUGCCAUCUUCCUUUUCAUAUUCCUUUGGCUAGGACUCAGCCACAUGGCCACACCUACCAUUAAAAGCUGCUGGGAAAUGGGGUCAGCUGGACAUCCAGGAGGAAAAAGAGGAGAUGGCUCCAGCUGGGCACCCUGUGGUUUUGUGACAUUUUGUUUCCUAAAGUCCUUCAACCAAUCCCACACUGCUCUGAUAUUGGAGCAUUUACAUCAGGCAAAGUCACCCUCCGUUAUCUUUGAGAAACAGAUAAAAGCUAUGGCUCUCUCUCCAUGCUUAUACCCAUUGCCAAUUCUGCUUGCCGGUUUACAGAGGCUUCUCAGAUGCCAUCAGUGGAAUUACUAACCUAGAGCAACAGAGAAGUUGCUCUCCAAUAACGUCCUAUCUAUGAAGUAAUGUUUUCACAAAGAACUGGUGCACCUUCAGAAGACCGGCAGUGGAUAAGGGAGCAUGUAAGCGGCUAAUUUUGAUGCCAGCAUCCCUAGGAUUGGUUGUUGGGGAAAUGCAUAGAGUUUUAGGUGCAAUGUUUUAAAGGGAAGACUUACAUUAUGAGGCUAGCCCAGAAGAGGGUGACUAGAGUACCUAGGAGUUCCUACGUGGAAGGGCUGAAGUCAACUGUCAUGUUGUGAGCUGCUCAAUGGAAAGACUCAUGUGGAAGGAAGUGAGGGAGGCCUCUGGCCAAUAGUCCAGGAGGAACUGAAGCCCUCAGUCCAACAACCUGUGUGGAACUGAAUCCUCUAAACAAUUACAUGUGUGAGCUUGGAAAUAGAUCCAUACUCAGUCAAACUUUGGGACCCCACGCCUGCUGACGCUUGAUUGUGGUUCCAGCUAAGCCACUGCUGAAAUCUCAACUCAGGGAAACUAUAAUAUAGUAAAUGUUUGUUGUUUCAAGUUGGCAAAUUUUGGAAUAAUUUUUUAUAUAGUGAUAAUUUUUUAUAUACCUUAAAACAACCCAUUACCCUAUCCUUUGCUACACUUUUCUCUUGGAAAUCUGCUUGCCCACAUAUUACAGAAGUAUCUUUCAGAUCAUAGGCUGAAAGGUGGAUUAUGGAUACAAUGUUUAAAUUUAGCAGUGUCAUUUAUGGCCGUUUAUAUGAGCUUUGCUGCAUAAAAUGUUGAUAUUAAUUUGUUUCCCUUUAAAACAUUCUUAAUGUUUACCUCAGUAUUUUCUUUGUAAUCAAUUAAUAUAAAAUGAAUAUAGUGUAUAGGUUUUACCUUUUUAAAUUUGUUUUAAACAAAACACAUAACAUCUAACCAUUGUUAUUUAAAGAUCAACUAGAAGGAGGUGAUGGAAACUCAGUUUAGGAUCACCUUCUUUACACGUUAGUUCUAUUUCUGUGAGUAUAUAUUAAACUAGUGGGGGAUCAAGCUACAAAAAUGCUACUUGGGGAGAAUGUCUUUUUUUUUUUUUUAAAUAUGAAUACUCAACCCUGAAGUUAUGUUUUUGUGGAAAGUUAUCACUUUGGAAUUUGAAUUUUCUUGGAGCUAAGCCACCGGUGGUUGUAAAAGCGACACCUGUAAAUUUGCUCCCUAGAAGAUACUUUUGUUUAGUGACUGCUUGUUUCUCUGUGGAUAAAUUCAAUUAUAAAUUACAA